AAUAAAAGUUAAUAGAGAUGCCUCAAGUUGACUACUUUAACCAUCCCUGUUUCACUAUUUAUUAGCUAUCAAUGGUAGGAUCAGGAUCAGCAUCAGAGGCAACAAUGAAGAAGUGGCCACACACAACGAAGGGCCAGCUGGGUACAGCCAUCAACAACAAGCUGACAGAGCUCAGGGCUCGCCAAAAGCAGAUUAAAUAAUUGACAUUUAUUGACAAUAAAUGUAUGUUAAUGACUUA